UACGUAGGGGGCAAGCGUUGUCCGGAUUUAUUGGGCGUAAAGAGCGUGUAGGCGGCUAGAUAGGUCCGUUGUGAAAACUCGAGGCUCAACCUCGAGACGUCGAUGGAAACCAUCUGGCUAGAGUCCGGAAGAGGAGAGUGGAAUUCCUGGUGUAGCGGUGAAAUGCGCAGAUAUCAGGAGGAACACCGGUGGCGAAGGCGGUUCUCUGGGACGGUACUGACGCUGGAGACGCGAAAGCGUGGGAGCGAACAGG
rnacentral:rRNA from 1 species